AAACAAAGGGCCAUUUGAAAACGUUUCGAAACUUGUAUGAAGGAUUUCCUUUCAGUCUUUUUCUCUGGGAGAGAACAAACCAAGGUAGAGCUCACUUUCCUUGUCCAAAAGAACCACACAGAAAUGCCACAGGCAACGUAGACCGGGAAACCCCGCAAACCAUAAAGAUUGCAGAUUUCCUUUCAAUCAAAACGAAAAUGUCCCUCCUUCUCUCCAAUCCUCUCACCUCUCUCUCUCUUCACUUCCCCCACUUUCAUCUCCAACUUUGGCCUUCAGUGCAACCCCAGGUUCAACCAGUUCUUGGAUGCUCGUGCUUUCUAAAUUAUUUAGAUGAAGACUGGUCUUUUCUCUGUUAUAACCACCGAUUCAAUUGUGAUACCGGUUUUGCCCUUGGUGAAUUCAUUGCUAGGUGUUGUAGGGCGGGUGCUGUCUUGGUUUUUGUUUGCUUUCUUUGUUAGGGGCAGGGUGAGGCAGGGGAGCGUCAACCACUUUUUCCUGCUGUGGGCCAGGGCUUCCUGUGGGCAUGCAGGCUUUGUGUUCGUGCCUCUUCGUUUCCUAGGGGAUUGGAUUUCUUUCUUUAGUCAUGGUUUGUUUUGAGGGUGUCUAACCUCCCUUCUCUGUUUCAAUCUGCCUGCAGAGUGUGCGACAGGGGGGUUAUUGCUCUAUGGAUUGGAUAUUGAUUUGGGUCCUGUUUCUUUGUGCAUUUGGGGGAAUGGCAUGCUACUGUUUGAUGUCUUUUCUUCUGGUGGGGAGUAGGUAGAGUAGUUUGGAUUUGGCGUCCUUCAUCAGUUGCAUCUUCGUUUUCAGGUUUAGCUUCUGCUCAUUGGGCUUGAGCUGGCAGAGUUCCAGUUUUGUGGUCUGCCAUGCUGGUUCUUUUGUUGAGAUGCUGCUAUGACAAGUUUGAAAAUCUCUUAUUGCUUUAUGAUAUUUGUCUUGGGCGGCAUUCCAUGUUGAUAUGUUUUUGCAGCAGGGAUUAGUUUUUAUAUUCGUGUUGUUGGCUUCUGUUUUGGUUGUCUGUGGUCUGUUGCUUUUAAGGUUAUUUGUCGCUGGUGCUUUUGUUUUUAUUACUGCUUUGCUGUUGAGGGGGGUUCUGUUACUGUCUGUGUCCAAAUAUGUUAGGGUUUCUCGUCCGGGGAGGGUGGCUUCCGGGAAACGUGCAUGGUAGGGGUGGUUUGGAUAAAAUGAAAGAUCUCGAUGCAUCAUUGUUAGAUGGUUUUGCUGUGGAUUUUUGUUUUGCUUUGGUGGUCUUUGUGCACAUUCUGAACUUAAAGGCCACUUAAAGACCAUGAAGGGUCUUCCUAGACUAAGGUUAAAGUGCUUGGUCUGUGCAGAAAACUUUUUUGCAAGGUUCAUGUUCUCUUUUCUUUCAAGCUUUGGCCUUUGUCAGUUGCACUGUCAGUUCAGUCAUGGUUGAUUGUUUAAUUGGUUUGCCAUUUGUCUUUUGAGGCUGAUUUUAUUUGUUGUUCAUGCAGGGGCCUUUGGUCAUCUUUGCUCGGCCAUCUUUUAAACUUCAGACCCUUCUGCUCUCUGCAUCUUGGUUUCCCUUCAAUUGAAUUAUAGAGUUCAAUGCAUAUUUAUGGAUGUGGAGCUUGAGGAAAUUUCUCUAAUCAACAAAAAAACAAACAUUGACUUGCGAAUUUAGCAUUUUGAUUUAGAAAAAACAUGCCAAACAUCAUAGAAUUUGACAUUUCGCUUUAAAGCAUGGAGUUUACAUUUACUUAGAUUUACUUUGGGAUAGAACCUCAGUUGAAGGAGAUGUUAGGUCUUUGAUUGGUUCCAUUCUCUUAUUUUUUUUUCAGUUGAUAAUUCAGCUCAUUUAAUCAUUGAAGAUGGUUCUGUCGGUUUGAGAGAGCCACGGUCAAUGACUUACAGAAUUUGUCAGAUGGUGUUACGUUGUCCUUGGCAUCUUGAGAAUGAGAAGACACAGUUCCUUUUUUUGAUAUACUAUGAUGUGUAAGGUCAGCAAGCAUGUGGAAAUAGAAAACAGAUGAUAUUAAUUUGUUUAGUUGUUGAUGUCGUCUGUUUGCUUCUUUUGUUGGAUCCUAUUCAUAUUUACUUCCUGGUUGCUUUUUUCUC